rnacentral:rRNA from 1 species
CCUACGGGUGGCAGCAGUGAGGAAUAUUGGUCAAUGGCCGAAAGGCUGAACCAGCCAAGCCGCGUGAAGGAGGAAGGCGCUACGGGUUGUAAACUUCUUUUGUCGGGGGACAAAAUGCCGCACGUGUGCGGUUCUGCAGGUACCCUGUGAAAAAGGACCGGCUAACUCCGUGCCAGCAGCCGCGGUAAUACGGGAGGUCCGGGCGUUAUCCGGAUUCAUUGGGGUUAAAGGGUGCGGAGGCGGGCGUUUAAGGCUGCCGUGAAAUGCCCGGGCUCAACCCCGCCGCGGCGGCGGGACCUGGGGGGCUGGAGUGCGGGGGAGGUAGGCGGAAUGCGUGGUGUAGCGGUGAAAUGCAUAGAUAUCGCGAAGAACUCCGAUUGCGAAGGCAGCGUGCCGUGGCGCAACUGACGCUGAGGCACGAAGGCGCGGGGAUCGAACAGGAUUAGAUACCCCAGUAGUC